rnacentral:rRNA from 1 species
CCUACGGGAGGCAGCAGUGGGGAAUAUUGCACAAUGGGCGAAACCCUGAUGCAGCGACGCCGCGUGAGUGAAGAAGUACUUCGUUAUGUAAAGCUCUAUCAGCAGGGGAGAAAAUGACGGUACCUGAGUAAUAAGCCCCGGCUAACUCCGUGCCAGCAGCCGCGGUAAUACGUAGUGGGCAAGCGUUAUCCGGAUGUACUGGGUGUAAAGGGAGCGUAGACGGAAUGGCAAGUCUGGAGUGAAAGGCUGGGGCUCAACCCGCGGACUGCAGUGGAAACUGUAAGGCUGGAGUUCAGGAGAGGUGAGUGGAAUUCGUAGUGUAGCGGUGAAAUGCGUAGAUAUUAGGAGGAACACCAGUGGCGAAGGCGGCUUACUGGACUGUAACUGACGUUGAGGCGCGAAAGCGUGGGGAGCAAACAGGAGUAGAUACCCGAGUAGUC